rnacentral:rRNA from 1 species
GAGUUUGAUCAUGGCUCAGAACGAACGCUGGCGGCAGGCCUAACACAUGCAAGUCGAGCGAGACCUUCGGGUCUAGCGGCGGACGGGUGAGUAACGCGUGGGAAUGUGCCCUUCUCUACGGAAUAGUCCCGGGAAACUGGGUUUAAUACCGUAUACGCCCUUCGGGGGAAAGAUUUAUCGGAGAAGGAUCAGCCCGCGUCUGAUUAGGUAGUUGGUGGGGUAAUGGCCUACCAAGCCUACGAUCAGUAGCUGGUUUUAGAGGAUGAUCAGCCACACUGGGACUGAGACACGGCCCAGACUCCUACGGGAGGCAGCAGUGGGGAAUCUUAGACAAUGGGCGCAAGCCUGAUCUAGCCAUGCCGCGUGAGUGAUGAAGGCCUUAGGGUCGUAAAACUCUUUCGCCAGGGAUGAUAAUGACAGUACCUGGUAAAGAAGCCCCGGCUAACUCCGUGCCAGCAGCCGCGGUAAUACGGAGGGGGCUAGCGUUGUUCGGAAUUACUGGGCGUAAAGCGCGCGUAGGCGGACUAUUAAGUCAGGGGUGAAAUCCCGGGGCUCAACCCCGGAACUGCCUUUGAUACUGGUAGUCUUGAGUUCGAGAGAGGUGAGUGGAAU